UGCAAGUCGAGCGGACUUGAAGGAGUGCUUGCACUCCUGAUGGUUAGCGGCGGACGGGUGAGUAACACGUAGGUAACCUGCCCAUAAGACUGGGAUAACCCACGGAAACGUGAGCUAAUACCAGAUAGGCAUUUUCCUCGCAUGAGGGAGAUGAGAAAGGCGGAGCAAUCUGCCACUUAUGGAUGGACCUGCGGCGCAUUAGCUAGUUGGUAAGGUAACGGCUUACCAAGGCGACGAUGCGUAGCCGACCUGAGAGGGUGAUCGGCCACACUGGGACUGAGACACGGCCCAGACUCCUACGGGAGGCAGCAGUAGGGAAUCUUCCGCAAUGGACGAAAGUCUGACGGAGCAACGCCGCGUGAGUGAUGAAGGUUUUCGGAUCGUAAAGCUCUGUUGCCAGGGAAGAACGCCUAGGAGAGUAACUGCUCCUAGGGUGACGGUACCUGAGAA
rnacentral:rRNA from 1 species